GCUGGGUUUGGUGACACACGCCUGUAAUCCCAACUACCUGGGAGGUUGAGGCAGGAGGAUCACAAGUUUGAGGCCAUCCUGCAUAACAUAGAAAGACCCUAUCUCAA
rnacentral:sRNA from 1 species